GUUCGGUGUUGGUAAAAUACACAACGACUAACGACACGAGCAGGACAUCGAGUAAACAUGGAAUUAGCCGUUCACUGGAUGGACUAUAUUAUGUUCCUAACUUGAGGAAGUAAA